rnacentral:lncRNA from 1 species
UUUAGCAUGAAGGGUUGUUGAAUUUUGUCAAAGGCUUUUUCUGCAUCUAUUGAGAUAAUCAUGUGGUUUUUGUCUUUGGCUCUGUUUAUAUGCUGGAUUACAUUUAUUGAUUUGUGUAUUUUGCGUAGAGGUGUUUGUAGUAUUCUCUGAUGGUAGUUUGUAUUUCUGUGGGAUUGGUGGUGAUAUCCCCUUUAUCAUUUUUUAUUGUGUCUAUUUGAUUCUUCUCUCUUUUUUUUCUUUAUUAGUCUUGCUAGCGGUCUAUCAAUUUUGUUGAUCCUUUCAAAAAACCAGCUCCUGGAUUCAUUGAUUUUUUGAAGGGUUUUUGUAUCUCUAUUUCCUUCAGUUCUGCUCUGAUUUUAGUUAUUUCUUGCCUUCUGCUAGCUUUUGAAUGUUCAGGAGCUCUUUUAGGGCAGGCCUGGUGGUGACAAAAUCUCUCAGCAUUUGCUUGUCUGUAAAGUAUUUUAUUUCUCCUUCACUUAUGAAGCUUAGUUUGGCUGGAUAUGAAAUUCUGGGUUGAAAAUUCUUCUCUUUAAGAAGGUUGAAUAUUGUCCCCCACUCUCUUCUGGCUUGUAGGGUUUCUGCUGAGAGAUCCGCUGUUAGUCUGAUGGGCUUCC